CACGGGGGGAGCAAGCGUUGUUCGGAAUCACUGGGCGUAAAGGGCGUGUAGGCGGUCAAGUAAGUGGAAUGUGAAAGCCCCCGGCUUACCCGGGGAUCUGCAUCCCAAACUGCUUGGCUUGAGUACGGGAGAGGAUAGGGGAAUUCCUGGUGUAGCGGUGAAAUGCGCAGAUAUCAGGAGGAACACCGGUGGCGAAGGCGGUGGUCUGGGCCGGAACUGACGCUGAGGAGCGAAAGCGUGGGUAGCAAACAGG
rnacentral:rRNA from 1 species